rnacentral:rRNA from 1 species
AGGAUUAACGCUGGCGGCGUGCCUAACACAUGCAAGUCGAACGAGGUAGCAAUACCUAGUGGCAGACGGGUGAGUAGCGCGUGGUCAACCUACCGUUGAGUGGGGGAUAACUAGCCGAAAGGUUAGCUAAUACCGCAUACGUCUCCGAGGGGCAUCCCUUGGCGAUAAAAGGAGCAAUCCGCUCGAUGACGGGACCGCGUCCCAUUAGCUAGUUGGUGGGGUAACGGCCUACCAAGGCAUCGAUGGGUAGCUGGUUUGAGAGAGCGACCAGCCACACUGGGACUGAGAUACGGCCCAGACUCCUACGGGAGGCAGCAGUGAGGAAUUUUCCGCAAUGGGCGAAAGCCUGACGGAGCGACGCCGCGUGUGGGAAGAAGGCCUUCGGGUCGUAAACCACUGUCGAAGGGGAGAUAAUGACGGUACCCUUGGAGGAAGCCCCGGCUAACGUACGCACCAGCAGCCGC